CAAUAAUUUUUAUUAGAUUUUACACAUGAAAAGCUUGCCAUUUAAAACAUGCCUGGCGACUAUAAAAGCUGAAAUGGAGAAAGAUUUUAUGUAACCAGUUUUAACGCAAUACAUGCAAUGUCAAUGUAAUGGCAAAGUCGGUUUGAUAUAAAAAUGUUCAUUGAAUAAUAAGAUUUAUCACGUAUAUAUUAUAGGAAAACUUUCUCUGUUUUAGGAGUUAUUGUUGUUCUACAUUCUUAUAAGCGGUAUAAGUCAUUGCGUUGUAAAAUACAUUAUCUGUUUCCAAUAGUCUAUACACAUCGUUCUUUACUCUAUAGCUUUACUUUUCAGACUUUUUUCUUUUUUUCUUUCCAUUUUCCUUUGCUGUUGCUGUACCAUCAUAGAAUUCCUGUGACUUGUACAGUAUCCCCUCCUUGUGUACAAAUGCGUCAGCUUUGUUUGCCCUCUGCCAUUUGUACUUUUUCCUUCGAUUCUUAACAGCGGAUUUCUCUUUGUAUUCUGCUGUGUCUAAUCUUUUCUUAUCCACUUUCUUCCAUUCCUUCACCAUAUUGUCAUCAACAUUUAACCCUAUCUUCGGCAACAACUGUGAAUAGGUAACUUCCAUGCCGCUGUUGAAUAGCAAGCAACCAAGACUGACUGCUAAACUGGUUUCACUGGGAGACGUGUACUGAUCUUUGGGAGCAAGCCCCCAAAUGACAUGAUGUAAAGACUCAUUUGGAUUUUGAGUCGCACACUUUUCACAACCAGCGAGAAAGUUUGCAUCACCCAAGCGAUC